ACCGUUCCUGAAGGUGUGCCAGUAUCCACUAUUCUUGCAUGCCUUGGGGAGUGGU
rnacentral:miRNA from 1 species